UCAGAUCAUCUCUUGGCUGAUGC
rnacentral:miRNA from 14 species